UACACGACCGUACCGCAAACCGACACUGGUGCGCGAGAUGAGUAUUCUAAGGCGCUUGAGAGAACUCAGGAGAAGGAACUCGGCAAAUUGACACCGUAACUUCGGAAGAAGGUGUGCCUUUAGUAGGUGAAGUCCCUCGCGGAUGGAGCCCAAUGAGGUUGCAAAAAAUCGGUGGCUGCGACUGUUUAUUAAAAACACAGCACUCUGCAAACACGAAAGUGGACGUAUAGGGUGUGACGCCUGCCCGGUGCUGGAAGAUUAAAUGAUGGGGUGCAAGCUCUUGAUUGAAGUCCCAGUAAACGGCGGCCGUAACAAUAACGGUCCUAAGGUAGCGAAAUUCCUUGUCGGGUAAGUUCCGACCUGCACGAAUGGCGUAACGAUGGCCACACUGUCUCCUCCUGAGACUCAGCGAAGUUGAAAUGUUUGUGAUGAUGCAAUCUCCCCGCGGAAAGACGGAAAGACCCCAUGAACCUUUACUGUAGCUUUGUAUUGGACUUUGAACAGAUCUGUGUAGGAUAGGUGGGAGGCUUUGAAGCAGGGUCGCUAGAUCUUGUGGAGCCAACGUUGAAAUACCACCCUGGUGUGUUUGAGGUUCUAACCUAGGCCCGUAAUCCGGGUUGGGGACAGUGCAUGGUAGGCAGUUUGACUGGGGCGGUCUCCUCCCAAAGUGUAACGGAGGAGUUCGAAGGUACGCUAGUUACGGUCGGACAUCGUGACGAUAGUGCAAUGGCAUAAGCGUGCUUAACUGCGAGACUGACAAGUCGAGCAGAUGCGAAAGCAGGACAUAGUGAUCCGGUGGUUCUGUAUGGAAGGGCCAUCGCUCAGCGGAUAAAAGGUACUCUGGGGAUAACAGGCUGAUACCGCCCAAGAGUCCAUAUCGACGGCGGUGUUUGGCACCUCGAUGUCGGCUCAUCUCAUCCUGGGGCUGUAGCCGGUCCCAAGGGUAUGGCUGUUCGCCAUUUAAAGAGGUACGUGAGCUGGGUUUAAAACGUCGUGAGACAGUUUGGUCCCUAUCUUCCGUGGGCGCUGCAGAUUUGAGGAAGCCUGCUCCUAGUACGAGAGGACCGGAGUGGACGCACCUCUGGUGUAUCGGUUGUCACGCCAGUGGCAUUGCCGAGUAGCUAUGUGCGGAAGAGAUAACCGCUGAAAGCAUCUAAGCGGGAAACUCGUUUCAAGAUGAGAUCUGCCGGGGCCUUGAGCCCCCUGAAGAGUCGUUCAAGACCAGGACGUUGAUAGGUCGGGUGUGGAAGCGCAGUAAUGCGUUAAGCUAACCGAUACUAAUUGCUCGUGCGGCUUGACC
rnacentral:rRNA from 1 species